UACGGGGGGGGCAAGCGUUGUUCGGAAUUACUGGGCGUAAAGGGCGCGUAGGCGGCCUUCUAAGUCGGACGUGAAAUCCCUCGGCUCAACCGAGGAACUGCGUCCGAUACUGAAAGGCUUGAAUCCGGGAGAGGGAUGUGGAAUUCCAGGUGUAGCGGUGAAAUGCGUAGAUAUCUGGAGGAAUACCCAUAGCGAAGGCAGCUCGCUGGGACGUUACUGACGCUGAGGCGCGAAAGCGUGGGGAGCGAACAGG
rnacentral:rRNA from 1 species